ACAGGGUCAAGGAUCCCUGCCUCACCUUCCUCUCUGGCCGUCUUGAGAAUCAAAUGAGAGAAUGGAUGGGAAAUCACUUGAAGGGAUAAUAAUGACGAUGAUUCGGACCAGAAGGUCAGAGCAGCCAGGCACCAGUCCCUGGAGUAGCUUCCCAGAAAGUCUGGAGCAGAGCUAAGAGAGAAGGACAGCUGAUAUCUCCCCAGCUCCCCUCCCACCAGCAUCCGUGACUUUGUUCCCUGGUUGGAAUCCAACGCCAGCGUAAGGACGGAGUCCCUGAGGAAAACUACUAACUAUGAUCCAGUGCUCUACCCACUGUGCCAUCUGGCUGCUCUGCGAUUUAUUUGGGUGGGUGCCAUCCUCUCUACCACCAUCGAUCAACAGAUAUUUAUCAGACAUCUACAGUGUGCGAGGCAUCCCUUCUCCAUCUUGACGAAUCAUGAGUUACUGUGGACAGAAGAUAAACUUCAGCCUUUGGUAGCCAGCUUUUGGUGGAGGAGCUCCAUACCUCGGUUAGUCUGUCUUCAGAAAGCAAACACAUAGCCUUCAUCAGCCCCUGCCCCCAAAGCACUUUGGGUUUGGAGGAACCUGCCAGUGAGAGCCCUGAGUAAUCUCCAAACCACGUGGCGGGUGUCGGAAAAGGACCUUAGGGGAGCUAGACGGGAACGGUCUAUACAACUGCGCGGGGCAGGGGAUGCAUCUGUGGAAUUCCAGCGUCUCCCACGUGUGGGCACAUUCACAGUAAUGACAAUGAUGACAUCUGCAUGAACUCAUCCAAUAUGAUGUUGGCAAAGAAGCCUGUCAAACGAAUGGCUGAGUCAUGCCGAUUUGUUUACAGAAACAGGUUUAUAAGAGCAGUUCAGGGCUGGGUCACGACCACCAGAAAUGUCAGAGGGGUAAUCAAUCCC